ACUCAAUAGAUACCCUGGUAGUCCUGGCAGUAAACGGUGCGCGUUUGGUGUGGGAGGAUUCGACCCCUUCUGUGCCGGAGCUAAACGCGUUAAACGCGCCGCCUGGGGAGUACGGUCGCAAGAUUAAAACUCAAAGAAAUUGACGGGGGCCCGCACAAGCGGUGGAGUAUGUGGCUUAAUUCGAUGCAACGCGAAGAACCUUACCUAGCCUUGACAUGCAUCUCUAAGUCGGUGAAAGCCGGCGAGUGUAGCAAUACACAAUUUGCACAGGUGCUGCAUGGCUGUCGUCAGCUCGUGUCGUGAGAUGUUGGGUUUAAGU
rnacentral:rRNA from 1 species